rnacentral:lncRNA from 1 species
UUUUAAAACCAACAUGUUUUUUCACAAGUGUUGGUAGUGUUUGUCCGGGUGCCUCAGUUGUAACUUGUUGUAUAAUGACUGUCUGUAUCUUAAUGGCUUCCAUAAAUGACUAGUUGCUAUUCAAAACAUAUUUUUGUGAUUUGAAGAUGGGGAAGGAAAACACUAAAUGACAAUUUGAGAAAGGUGUAUUGUUCCAAAUUCUGACUGGAGGGGAGAGGCUCUUGCAGUGAGAUCGUUGAUAAGUUACUGCAAAAGUAGCCACUAGUUUAUUAAAAACCAAACUGUACAGAUUAAUAAACCUUUUCCACAAUAUUCAGUUUUCUAACUCCUUGUUGCCGUACAGUGUAUGUUUUCUUACUCAUACAUUAUUUAAUUUCUUUAACCUCUGCUAUUUAUGCUCCACAAGUAAAAUGUACUUAGACUGGUCACUGUAUUGUCCCUUAUUAAGAUGCUGAUAUUAAUUUUUACAGUUUAUUAUCUAUGUACAAUGGUAAAUGAUAAACAUUUUGUGUACCUUU